CUCCACACAUGGAAGAUCUGUAACUCUUUUGUCAUACACCUUCUAGUAAAGUUCUAGGGAGCACAGUGACAGGUAUUCUUCCCCAAAUGUCCACAGAAAGACAUGAAAUAGAAAACAUCCAUUCUGUCAUCUCACUGUAAGUCCGUCACUGUGUGGUUGUUUAGGUGCACUGCGCGGUUGUUUAGGUGCACUGCGCGGUUGUUUAGGUGCACUGCGCGGUUGUUUAGGUGCACUGCGCGGUUGUUUAGGUGCACUGCGCGGUUGUUUAGGUGCACUGCGCGGUUGUUUAGGUGCACUGCGCGGUUGUUUAGGUGCACUGCGCGGUUGUUUAGGUGCACUGCGCGGUUGUUUAGGUGCACUGCGCGGUUGUUUAGGUGCACUGCGCGGUUGUUUAGGUGCACUGCGCGGUUGUUUAGGUGCACUGUGCGGUUGUUUAGGUGCGGUUGUUUAGGUGCGGUUGUUUAGGUGCACUGAGCACGUGUGUGUUCUGUCCCCCUGAUCUCUCCUUUAUUAGACUGACUCGCACUCCUUCCAUUGUCUUUACCAGCGGUUCUAAACCUCAGUAACUAAGCUCAUAAGGCAUUUACAAGUUAUAUUCUUUAAGAGUUGUUGGUGUAAUAGAGAAUUUCCAUGAGAACCAGAAGGUGAGCAGUCAUUGAUCAAAUCAAUCAGAAAUCAAUCCUGUUUAAUACAAGUUGCAACAGGGAGACAAUCUCCAGAAUGGAACAUUUCCAACUGGCCUUCUCUAAGCAGGCCCUAUGUUCUAAUCUCACAACACAGUGUUCUGUGAACACCCGCCGCCGAGAGGCUUGUAGGAAGUCACGGCAUCAUCUGCUAGUGCUACAGAAUACAAUAACAAUCAGUGUCCUCGUACCUCCAGUCUGGCAUCAAUCACUAUCAACAGAUAUGAGCACAUCCAUAACAUUCACUAUCAAGUCUAGUGACCAGCAACCCAUAAACAAUGAGUGUCCUAAAUAAAACACUCAAAAUCAUGUGUUUUACAUAAAGGGAGAACAUAUAAAUAAGUAUUGUGGUAAUAUUAACUUUUUUCAUCUGAAAUAUUCCCAAUACAAAUGGCUACAUAUCAACACAGGUUCAGAGAUGGAUGGAUGUACCAAUCUUACAUGGAACAAUAUAUAAAUACAUGCAACAAUUUAAAAGAUUUGACAAAGUUACAGUUCACAAAAGGAAAUCAGUCAAUUGAAAUAAAUGCAUUAUGCCCUAAUCUAUGGAUUUCACAUAACUGGGGAUCCAGAUAUACAUCUGUUGGUCACAGUAGUUAAUAUUUCUGUCCUAAAUGAACCUUUUUUGUUGUUGCUGGUUUUCAACCUUCUUUUAAUAAUUGUGACGUAAUCUAUACUUGUCUAAUGAUGUGGAGGGGAGAUCAAUUGAUCAUAACUGAGUUGUCAAUACGGAUUGUAUUUUAGAGCCGCGUGUGUGUGUGUGUGUGUGUGUGUGUGUGUGUGUUAGUUAGUGGAUGCUGGCCCUGCUAAGGUCGGUGUAUCAUGUAACUCUCCUGCAUGUGUUCAUAUUCACGGAGCGUGCUCACUCUGUUGCCAUAUUAACAUUGAACAAACCCUUAUUUUAUGUUGUACUUGGUCAAUUAGACCGAACGACCUGUUUCCCUGCCCUUGUGUUGCCUUAUUUGAAUGCCUGCGCACACAGAGCCUGCCUGGCCCAAAUGAGUGGCAGGGUGCUCCAUCGGCUCCCCAGACAUCAGGCAGGUCUGCCACUAACAGACAGCACAGAGCCUGCCUGGCCCAAAUGAGUGGCAGGGUGCUCCAUCGGCUCCCCAGACGUCAGGCAGGUCUGCCACUAACAGACAGCACAGAGCCUGCCUGGCCCAAAUGAGUGGCAGGGUGCUCCAUCGGCUCCCCAGACGUCAGGCAGGUCUGCCACUAACAGACAGCACAGAGCCUGCCUGGCCCAAAUGAGUGGCAGGGUGCUCCAUCGGCUCCCCAGACGUCAGGCAGGUCUGCCACUAACAGACAGCACAGAGCCUGCCUGGCCCAAAUGAGUGGCAGGGUGCUCCAUCGGCUCCCCAGACGUCAGGCAGGUCUGCCACUAACAGACAGCACAGAGCCUGCCUGGCCCAAAUGAGUGGCUGGGUGCUCCAUCGGCUCCCCAGACGUCAGGCAGGUCUGCCACUAACAGACAGCACAGAGCCUGCCUGGCCCAAAUGAGUGGCUGGGUGCUCCAUCGGCUCCCCAGACGUCAGGCAGGUCUGCCACUAACAGACAGCACAGAGCUCAUGUCCUCCAUAUCCUCUCUGGUUGUAGACCUGUAUCUGGGCCUUAGUAUGUCUCUGGGCCUUAGUAUGUCUCUGGGCCUUAGUAUGUCUCUGGGCCUUAGUAUGUCUCUGGGCCUUAGUAUGUCUCUGGGCCUUAGUAUGUCUCUGGGUCUUAGUAUGUCUCUGGGUCUUAGUAUGUCUCUGGGUCUUAGUAUGUCUCUGGGCCUUAGUAUGUCUCUGGGUCUUAGUAUGUCUCUGGGUCUUAGUAUGUCUCUGGGCCUUUGUAUGUCUCUGGGCCUUUGUAUGUCUCUGGGCCUUUGUAUGUCUCUGGGCCUUUGUAUGUCUCUGGGUCUUUGUAUGUCUCUGGGCCUUUGUAUGUCUCUGGGCCUUUGUAUGUCUCUGGGCCUUAGUAUGUCUCUGGGCCUUAGUAUGUCUCUGGGCCUUAGUAUGUCUCUGGGCCUUUGUAUGUCUCUGGGCCUUUGUAUGUCUCUGGGCCUUUGUAUGUCUCUGGGCCUUUGUAUGUCUCUGGGCCUUUGUAUGUCUCUGGGCCUUUGUAUGUCUCUGGGCCUUUGUAUGUCUCUGGGCCUUUGUAUGUCUCUGGGUCUUUGUAUGUCUCUGGGCCUUUGUAUGUCUCUGGGCCUUUGUAUGUCUCUGCGUCUUCACGGCCUUAGUAGUUGGUUACAACUCAUUUCUUUGUUUUCAGAAUUUACUGUAUCAGUUUGUUUCAAAUGUGUGUUUUAUUUGUCGUUUUCUAAUGCUGCCACAGAGAGUACAACUGCAGACUGAUCUUUGUCCCGAUACUAGUAAUUGGGAGAAAGUGUAUUUUUAACACCUACACCUAUUUUGCAAACUC